UUGGGGUUGGACAAUAACAGCUUUAUCCAUGGAAUAAAGGUCCCAACCCAACUUUAUGCAGGGCACUCCCAUUUGAUAUGAUCUAUGAUUUACGAGAAGAGAUGUACAAUAGUGUGUCAUUCAUAUACUGCAGAAGUGAGGACAACUUGAUGUCCUAGAAGUCGUGUGUGUGUGAAAUAGAUGAAGAGAAAGACAAAGGGCAAUGUGUAGGAGCACCUUCUAACUGAGGGAGUAAUGAACUUCGAGUGGAAAAACAAUACAGAUAUCUCACUCCUGCGGACAACAAUGAUGCCAGACAAACUCAUCACAGGAAUAGCAAAGGAGGAAGAGGAAGAAAUAAGGCAGCUAUCCCUAGAAACCUUUGGGAGAGGACUGCAGAAUAUCUCCAUCAAAGUUUCAUCACAAUGUUUCAGGAGGAUAAAACAGACAUCCCUGUGCAUAUAAACAUGUGCACAUGUCCA